rnacentral:rRNA from 1 species
UCCGUAGGUGAACCUGCGGAGGGAUCAUUACCGAGUUUACAACUCCCAAACCCCUGUGAACAUACCUAUACGUUGCCUCGGCGGAUCAGCCCGCGCCCCGUAAAACGGGACGGCCCGCCCGAGGACCCUAAACUCUGUUUUUAGUGGAACUUCUGAGUAAAACAAACAAAUAAAUCAAAACUUUCAACAACGGAUCUCUUGGUUCUGGCAUCGAUGAAGAACGCAGCAAAAUGCGAUAAGUAAUGUGAAUUGCAGAAUUCAGUGAAUCAUCGAAUCUUUGAACGCACAUUGCGCCCGCCAGUAUUCUGGCGGGCAUGCCUGUUCGAGCGUCAUUUCAACCCUCAAGCUCAGCUUGGUGUUGGGACUCGCGGUAACCCGCGUUCCCCAAAUCGAUUGGCGGUCACGUCGAGCUUCCAUAGCGUAGUAAUAAUACACCUCGUUACUGGUAAUCGUCGCGGCCACGCCGUAAAACCCCAACUUCUGAAUGUUGACCUCGGAUCAGGUAGGAAUACCCCGCUGAACUUAAGCUAUCAAUAAGCGGAGGAAGUCGACUGCCAAGGGCACACAGGGGGGGGGGAUA